AGAGGGUUGUGCGGUCAGCUGAGCGCACCAUCCGCUCCGAGCUCCCUGACCUGCACUCAAUCUACAGCAGGCGGUGCUGGACCAAGGCCAGGAAGAUGGUGAAGGACCUCAGCCAUCCCAACAACAGACUGUUCUCUCUGUUGAGGUCAGGAAAGCGAUUCCGCUCCCUGAAGACCAACACAGAGAGACUGAGGAGGAGCUUCUUCCCGCAGGCGAUACGGUCUCUCAAUCACACCACCACACAGUACUGACCCACACAUAUGGUUCUUACACACACACUGGACUUUCUGGACAUUGGUUUUGCACAACACUGGUCACUAUAUUCUUCAUUUCCGGUUAAUACUUGUACAGCUGCUGUUAUUGUGUAUAUAUUUAUUUAUAUUUCUUCAUACAUUCUUAUAUAGUUCUAUAUUGUGUAUUUUGUUGUACAGUUAUUUUAUUUUCAACUUUAAUUUAUAUAUUUUAUCUUAUUCUUCCCAGUUAAAUUUACCCUUCAUUCUAAUUUGUGUUGUACAGUUAUUUCAUUUUUAACCUUAAUUUAUAUUUUAUUCCUUCCUAUUAAAUUUACCCUUCAUUCUAAUUUGUGUUGUACAGUUAUUUCAUUUUUAACCUUAAUUUAUAUUUUAUUCCUUCCUAGUUAAAUUUACCCUUUUUAAUUUUUCAUAUUUAUUUCCUAUCUUAUUCAUAGCCUUUUCCUUUUUUGUUUUCUUUAGGUCACGAGCAGUUGUCCAAGCAUUUCACUACAUAUCGUACUGUGUAUGACUGUGUACGUGACAAAUAAAAUCUGAAUUUAAAAGUAACGUGUUCGCGUGUUUAUAUGUGUAAAAUCGUAUCAUACAACUGACUGUCCCAAAAAUCUGAACAGAACGAGGAAAAAGGCUUUUAGAUGCGCUGUUUCCUGGACAGUGUUACUGUGGGG
ensembl:lncRNA